CCUACGGGAGACAGCAGUGGGGAAUAUUGGGCAAUGGGCGCAAGCCUGACCCAGCAACGCCGCGUGAAGGAAGAAGGCUUUCGGGUUGUAAACUUCUUUUCUCAGGGACGAAGCAAGUGACGGUACCUGAGGAAUAAGCCACGGCUAACUACGUGCCAGCAGCCGCCGUACUACGUAGGGGGCAAGCGUUAUCCGGAUUUACUGGGUGUAAAGGGCGUGUAGGCGGGAAAGCAAGUCAGAUGUGAAAACCAUGGGCUCAACCUGUGGCCUGCAUUUGAAACUGGUUUUCUAGAGUUGGAGAGAGGUAUGCGGAAUUCGUGGUGUAGCGGUGAAAUGCAUAGAUAUCACGAAGAACACCGAUGGCGAAGGCAGCAUACCGGCUCCAUACUGACGCUGAGGCACGAAAGCGUGGGGAGCGAACAGGAUUAGAUACCCCAGUAGUC
rnacentral:rRNA from 1 species